AGUAACGGCGAGUGAAGCGGCAACAGCUCAAAUUUGAAAUCUGGCUCUCGGGCCCGAGUUGUAAUUUGUAGAGGAUGCUUUUGAUGCGGUGCCUUCCGAGUUCCCUGGAACGGGACGCCAUAGAGGGUGAGAGCCCCGUCUGGUUGGAUGCCAAAUCUCUGUAAAGUUCCUUCGACGAGUCGAGUUGUUUGGGA
rnacentral:rRNA from 1 species